rnacentral:rRNA from 1 species
AGAGUUUGAUCAUGGCUCAGGAUGAACGCCGGCGGUGUGCCUAAUACAUGCAAGUCGUACGCACUGGCCCAACUGAUUGAUGGUGCUUGCACCUGAUUGACGAUGGAUUACCAGUGAGUGGCGGACGGGUGAGUAACACGUAGGUAACCUGCCCCGG